UACGUAGGGUGCAAGCGUUGUCCGGAAUUAUUGGGCGUAAAGAGCUCGUAGGCGGUCUGUCACGUCGGCUGUGAAAACCUAGGGCUCAACCCUGGGCCUGCAGCCGAUACGGGCAGACUAGAAUUCGGUAGGGGGGGACUGGAAUUCCUGGUGUAGCGGUGAAAUGCGCAGAUAUCAGGAGGAACACCGGUGGCGAAGGCGGGUCUCUGGGGCCGAUAUUGACGCUGAGGAGCGAAAGCGUGGGGGAGCGAAC
rnacentral:rRNA from 1 species